UACAGAGGGUGCAAGCGUUGUUCGGAAUUAUUGGGCGUAAAGAGCUCGUAGGCGGUCUGUCACGUCGGCUGUGAAAUCCCGAGGCUCAACCUCGGGUCUGCAGUCGAUACGGGCAAACUAGAGUAUUGCAGGGGAGACUGGAAUUCCUGGUGUAGCGGUGAAAUGCGCAGAUAUCAGGAGGAACACCGGUGGCGAAGGCGGCCCGCUGGACAGCGCCUGACGCUGAGACGCGAAAGCGUGGGUAGCAAACAGG
rnacentral:rRNA from 1 species